UGUAAAUGUCGGUGUGACUGUGACUCUGACUGAUACUUAUUUUUUCUUCACUCUCAUCAGGGAAUUAAACAAACAGCAACGUUUUCAUUAAAGUGCUGUGUGUGUUUGAGACAAGAUGAUGUUCAGGAUCCCGCUGACCAUCACUGUGACUUUAUGUGUCUACGGAAUGUUUUAUCCCCAAAGAAUGACUGUAAACUAUCAGACAGGAGAAAACAUGAACAUCUCGGUGGAAUGGCGUUUCUUCAACAAAACACUCAAGAUCCACGGUGUGUUCCUGCCCACGGAGGUUAAAGAGUUCUGGUU